rnacentral:tRNA from 1 species
GGGGUUGUAGCUCAGUGGUAGAGCGCUUGCCUAGCAUGUGUGAGGCACUGGGUUCGAUUCUCAGCAUCACAU